rnacentral:rRNA from 1 species
CGAAGGGUGCAAGCGUUACUCGGAAUUACUGGGCGUAAAGCGUGCAUAGGUGGUUUGUUAAGUCUGAUGUGAAAGCCCUGGGCUCAACCUGGGAACUGCAUUGGAAACUGGCUUACUAGAGUGCGGUAGAGGGUAGUGGAAUUCCCGGUGUAGCAGUGAAAUGCGUAGAUAUCGGGAGGAACAUCUGUGGCGAAGGCGACUACCUGGACCAGCACUGACACUGAGGCACGAAAGCGUGGGGAGCAAACAGGAUUAGAUACCCUGGUAGUCCACGCCCUAAACGAUGCGAACUGGAUGUUGGGAGCAACUUGGCUCUCAGUAUCGAAGCUAACGCGUUAAGUUCGCCGCCUGGGAAGUACGGUCGCAAGACUG